rnacentral:lncRNA from 1 species
UCCAUUAUAAUUAUUAUUCAAAACUAUUUAAUAAUAAGUCAAAAAUCAUAAUAACUGCUACACCACAUAGUUAUAUAAUUACCCAAAAACAUAAAUCACAAAUUUUUUCAAAAAUUCACAUGCAUAUAUGUAGACAUAGUAAUGGUUGAUAAUUUUCCAUAAAAGUUUAAACUCUAUUUUAUCAUAAAUACAAUUUAACAAAAUAAAAAUAAUAUUAAUUUAUUUAUUUUAUUGAAAAUUGGGAAAAUAAAUCUUACUAAAUUGAUACUUGAAUAUGAAACUUUGUAGAUAAUCGGAUGCAAGAAAAUAGUUGAUGAUCAAUCUCUUUUUUUUUCCUCUCUAUUUUCUAUCUUUUGGUGCUUGAAUGGAACUUAAUUUAGAGGCAUGGGGAAGGAAUAUAAGAGAGCGGCAGGGGAAGGAAAAAUGAGAGAGAGUGUGAAUAAGGAAGCGGCGGGGGAAGUGAAUAAGGAAGCGGCAGGGGAAGGGAAAAUGGGAAGAAUACAUUAAGGGUGGAAGGGCUGUCGCUACAGCCUGUAGCAACAAGAGGGUUCAAAGUCAGCAGUAGUAGUUUGUCAGCCAGCAGUAGCAGUUUGUUAGAAGCAUUGCAUCAUAAGUUGCCCUUGCCGUGAGAGGUUGUAGAGGCAAUGAGAAGCAAUUAUGGAGGGGAAAUUAUGUAAAAUGGUCGGCUGGAUCAACGGCUACAAACUUAGUUGCUAAACAGUGCCCAAGGCAACCGG